CCUGGUUGCUUGAGCGGUUUGGAACCACCUCUUCCCAUCCCGAACAGAGAAGUGAAACGAACCAGCGCCAAUGAUACUCACUCCAAAGCGGAGCUGGGGAAAGUCGGUCGUAGCCAGGA
rnacentral:rRNA from 2 species